CUUUCAUCUAGUUUUGAAAUAAAAGAUUUUUUUUCCAUUUUGUUUAAAUGAAGUAUGUGUGAAAUAAAAUGAGAAUUUUAGUAUAUGACCGGAUCCUUCAGCCAUGUACACGCAUCUUGGGUCGGGCAGGGUUUGAAAAUGGACAGUCUCUGUGGUCUUUAAAACUUCACUCUCUGCACAGUAACACGUAAGACAAGAAGAGUGACUGUAGGUUUUCAAAUACUGUGCGAUCCAAGGCGUAUGUACAUGGCUGAAGGAUCC